GCUGAGCUCUCGGGAGAAAGUUGGGUGCCUAUGAUUUUGGAACAGACGGUGGAGAAUUGGAGAGUGUCUGCCAUUCAGCACCUUUCCUCUUUCUCCAAAGGCUUUCAUACCUGUUAUCACAUUCCCCUUCUCCUGCUCUGGGCCCCACACCUAGAGAUGCAGGCAGCUUCUCCAGCUAACCCCCCACUCCUCGUAGCCUCACGGAUCUCGGACUUGGAAGAGCCCAUAGAAAGCAUUCUACAUCGGCAGAGACCAAAAGCCUACAAGGGGGAAUGACCUGCUCAAGACCUCCUGCAGCACCGCCCGCGUGCACUUGCUAACACGCAGAAGUCAGCUUUGCCGAAGAGCCUUCCAUGGCUCCCCAUUGCCUUCAGGACAACGGUCUCAGCAGGUGAGUUCGCAGGAAGCGCAGAGGAAACCCACUGCAAGAACGACACUCCCCCUCCCCACAGACCCCUGAGGCACUGUGUAUGUCACGGGGGCCUUCCAGGUGGGAGGCCAUGUGCUGGGGAUAAGCAGAGACAGGCUUGGUCCCUUUGUUUAGAAGCUUAUACAUUUUUCACAAGACAGGUCAACAGGUACCCAACAAUAAUGUGUAUUUUAAUGUUUAAGUCCUGGAAGUGCUCUUAGAAAUCAUGGGCCUUGCCCAACUGCCUCUCAUUUUACAGUAGAGGAAACUGAUGUCCCAGAAUUGGCAAAUUAUAAAGAAAAACUUGUCUCAUAAGAGGUCUCCCUGCUUCUACUCUGCCUCCACCACCAGGAGCCCCUCUGCACCCUGCAGCCAGAGCCAUCUGUCUGAGCAGCGUGUCACCUGGUCACUCCUAUGAGAAAGCUUUCUGUGGCUCCCACUGGCCUACAAUAGAAGCCAAACAUCCUCCCAGACCCGUGGUGCCCAGGGUGUCAGGUCCACGCAUCCCGGUCGUUCCCUGUGAUGAGAAUGUCCUUCCGUUUUAGGACUAAUGGCCCCUCCUCAGGGCUGCCCUCCCUGACCAUCCAUGCAAGGCAGGUGCACGGCCCCACUCAUUCCCUUCCCAUCACCCUGAUUGGAUGUGUUCAGAGCACAUAAUACCAUCCACAUCCUCUUGUUUGUUUACUGAUUUUUCUUCUUUCAUAUCUGGGUCAACUUACUAGAGGCUAAGCUGCAGAGGGCUGAGAUUUGCCUCUAUCACUAGCACCUACAACAUACUUGGCUCAUAGUUGACACAAGAAAUCUUUGCUGAAUGACUAAACCAAGAAAUGAAUACAUAUUGCUGGAAAUUUGAAAACGUAAAAUAGCAUAAAGAAGCAAAUAAAAUCACUCAUACUUCCUCCUUCUGGAUAUUACUGCUGUUAGUAUUUUGGAGUAUUUUUUCAGGUCUUUUUUAAUGUAUAUGUAUGAUGUAUAGUGUGUGUUUAACAAAAUUAAGAUUAUGUUAAAUUAUGGUUUGUAUCCUGCUUUUUUUUCACUUAUUAUAUUGUAUCUCCACAUGUUGUAAAAUAAUCUUUUAAAUACUUUUUUAAGUGCUGCAUAAAAUUUCAUAUGGAUGUAAUAAAAUUAACUUAAGCAUUU